rnacentral:rRNA from 1 species
CCCUAUUAUAAAGUGAGUUUAUAAAGUUAGUAUAUAAGUGAAAAUUAAUAAUUUUGGCGGUUAACUAUUAAUUAGAGGAGCUUGUUUAAAUAGAAUUUACUCUUUAUAUUUUAUAAUAUUUGUGGUAUAUUCAUCUCCGUUAUUAGAUGUUAAUUAAAUAAAAAUUGUUUUUAAAUUUCAGGUCAAGAUGUAGCAUUUUAUUAAAAAAAUUAGCUACAUUUUAUAAUAAUUGGAUUAGAAGGAGAAUUUAUUUAAAGAAAUUGAAUUUAAUUGUAAUAUUUAUUUAUAAUAAUAUUAUGAAUGGAUUUAGUUUAUGUA